rnacentral:rRNA from 1 species
UGAGGAACAUGACUUUCGGUGGGGGAUAGCCGGCCCAACGGCCGGGUAAUACCGCGUACGACCUUUUGGGGACAUCCCUGAUUGGUGAAAGCAGCAAUGCGCCGAAAGAGUGCCUCGCGGCCUAUCAGCUAGUUGGUGGGGUAAUGGCUCACCAAGGCGACGACGGGUAGCUGGUCUGAGAGGAUGGCCAGCCACAUUGGGACUGAGACACGGCCCAGACUCCUACGGGAGG